rnacentral:rRNA from 1 species
GUCUUAUUGAUAAUAAUUUUAAGUCAAUCUGCCCAAUGAUUUUAUUAAAUGGCUGCAGUAUAAUUAACUGUACAAAGGUAGCAUAAUCAAUUGAUUUUUAAAUGAAAUCUAGAAUGAAAGGAUUAAUGAAAUAUAUACUGUCUCAAAUAUAUAAUAUAAAUUUAAAUUUUUAAUUAAAAUGUUAAAAUUUUUUUAUGGGACGAUAAGACCCUAUAGAAUUUUAUAUAAAUUUAUUUUUAUAAUUAAUAUAAUUAUUAAAUUUAUAUUUAAUUGGGAGGAUUAUUAAAUUUAAUAAACUUUAAUUUUUAUAAACUUAAAUUAAAGAAAAAUUUAUGAUCUUUAAUUUAAAAUUAAUAGAAUAAAUUACCUUAGGGAUAACAGCGUUAUAUUUUUUUAUAGAUCAUAUAGAAAAAAAUGAUUGCGACCUCGAUGUUGAAUUAAGAUAAAUUUUUAAUGUAGAAGUUAAAUAAUUAAGUCUGUUCGACUUUUAAAAUCUUACAUGAUUUGAGUUCAAAUCGACGUAAGU